UACGUAGGGGGCAAGCGUUGUCCGGAUUUAUUGGGCGUAAAGAGCGUGUAGGCGGCCAGGUAGGUCUGCUGUGAAAACUCGAGGCUCAACCUCGAGACGUCGGUGGAAACCGUUUGGCUAGAGUCCGGAAGAGGAGAGUGGAAUUCCCGGUGUAGCGGUGAAAUGCGCAGAUAUCGGGAAGAACACCCGUGGCGAAGGCGGUUCUCUGGGACGGUACUGACGCUGAGACGCGAAAGCGUGGGGAGCGAACAGG
rnacentral:rRNA from 1 species